rnacentral:lncRNA from 1 species
CUAUCCUUCUGGGCACCUAGCUGUCUGUCAGAGCUAUUCUGACCUCCCUUCAGGUGGUGUGUACACCAGCGUAUUCAGUGACUUGCCAAAUCCAGUUAUCCUUGGAACCUUUACACCUUUUGGAUGUGGCAGCAUUUCUUUUCCUAAGAGGUACUGAUAUGAAGUGAACUGCCAAGGAUGUUCAGAAGCAUCUGAGAUCAGUGUUCAGUUUCAUCUGUAGCAGGACGAGCUACAGACAAAACCCCUCAGACACCGAGUUAAAGAAGGAAGGACUUUAUUCAGCCGAGAGCUUCGGCAAGACUCACGCCUCCAACAACCGAGCAAUUCCUGUCCCUUUUAA